rnacentral:rRNA from 1 species
UCCCGCGUAAUUUAAGCAUAUUAAUAAGCGGAGGAAAAGAAACUAACAAGGAUUCCCUCAGUAGCUGCGAGCGAACAGGGAAGAGCCCAGCACCGAAUCCUGCGCGUCGAACGGCGCGUCUGGAAAUGUGGUGUGUGGGAGGAUCCGAUAAUCUCGCGCGGGAACGCCAGUCCAAGUCCAUCUUGAAAGCGGCCACAGCCCACAGAGGGUGCCAGGCCCGUAGGACGGCGCACGUCCCGCGCGAAAGGGUCUCUCAGAGUUCAAGAGUACGUGAAACCGUUCGGGGGUAAACGGGCGAAAUCUGGAAAAUCGAACGGAGAUGUUCAAGCCUCACUCGCCGCGCGUUGCACGGCGGCCGCCGAUGGGGGCGUGGCGCCCGCACGUCCCGCAAGGGGCGCGCGGUGUCGUCCGCGCUCGCCACGUGUCGUGCCGUCGCGCUCGCCGGCGUCGGGCCGCACUCUUCUCCUUGUAGUACGUCGCGACCCGUUGGGCGUCCGUCAAAGGCCCGCGCGUGGAGCCGGUCGACGCGUCGCGGUUCGUCGUCGGGCGGCGUCAAAACCGUCCGGCGUGCGUGUCCGCUCGCUCGGCCGACCGCUGCGGUGUCCCGGCGGACUCGCCCGACGGUAUGCAAAACAUGAACCGAUCCGAAUCGCACACUGCUCCCCCGUCGCCCUCGGGUGGCGGGGGGCGUGCGGCGUCCUCCGCGGCGCCCGGAUCGCGUCGGCGACGCUCCACCCAGAGCAUCACCCGACCCGUCUUGAAACACGGACCAAGGAGUCUAACAUGUGCGCGAGUCAUUGGGACCGCACUAAACCUAAAGGCGUAACGAAAGUGAAGGCCGGCUGCGUCCGGGCGCGUUCUGCGCGUCCGGCGCGCACCGCGCCGAGGGGGGAUGCAGUCCGUCCGCAGCGACGCGACAGCCGCACCCCCGGGGCGUCUCGUUGUCAUUGCGACACAGCAGGCGCACCCAGAGCGUACACGUUGGGACCCGAAAGAUGGUGAACUAUGCCCUGGCGCUCGGAGGCGAAUUGUGGAGCGGAUGCCGAGGUCGCAAGGCCGGAGCCCGCGCGUAACCAGUCUCAUCUGGUAAAGCGAAUGAUUAGAGGCCUUGGGGCCGAAACGACCUCAACCUAUUCUCAAACUUUAAAUGGGUGAGAAAUUCGACUUGCUCGAAUCGAUGAAGUCAAAUAUUAAAUGACUGGAUGAACGAGUGCCAAGUGGGCCAAUUUUGGUAAGCAGAACUGGUGCUGUGGGAUGAACCAAACGUCGAGUUAAGGCGCCUAAAUCGAUGCUCAUGGGAUACCAUGAAAGGCGUUGGUUGCUUAAGACAGCAGGACGGUGNNNNNNNNNNNNNNNNNNNNNNNNNNNNNNNNNNNNNNNNNNNNNNNNNNGGAGUCCGGUUCCUAUUCCGGAACCCGGCCGCGGAACCGAUCACGCGGGCCAAUGUCGCCUAGAGCGGCAACUCGUCGGGGUGACCCAAAGGGACCCGGAGACGCCGUCGGACGAUCGGGGCAGAGUUUUCUGUUCUGUAUGAGCGUUCGAGUUCCCUGGAAUCGCCUAGCGCGGAGAUAGGGUUUGGAACGCGAAGAGCACCGCACUUGCGGCGGUGUCUCGAUCUGUCCCUCGGACCUUGAAAAUCCGGGAGAGGGCCACGUGGAGGUGUCGCGCCGGAUCGUACCCAUAUCCGCAGCAGGUCUCCGAGGUGAGGAGCCUCUAGUCGAUAGAA